rnacentral:rRNA from 1 species
UACGGGGGGGGCAAGCGUUGUUCGGAAUUACUGGGCGUAAAGGGCUCGUAGGCGGCCAACUAAGUCAGACGUGAAAUCCCUCGGCUUAACCGGGGAACUACGUCUGAUACUGGAUGGCUUGAAUCCGGGAGAGGGAUGCGGAAUUCCAGGUGUAGCGGUGAAAUGCGUAGAUAUCUGGAGGAACACCGGUGGCGAAGGCGGCAUCCUGGACCGGCAUUGACGCUGAGGAGCGAAAGCCAGGGGAGCAAACGGG